AAAGAACAUAAAAGUCGAAGAAACGGAAGGGGACAGGACGACGUCUUUGUCGUCCUGUCCCUUUCUGUUUCUUCGACUUUUAUGUUCUUUUCU
rnacentral:pre_miRNA from 1 species